rnacentral:misc_RNA from 1 species
AAACCCUCACGCUUGUGAUGUUACAAUUGCAAGUUGUGGAUUUGGACUGUGCCGUAGUUGGCUCGUCCUGAAAUGCAUUAGCUUGCGCUUAUUAGAGUGCUUGGCAUUGGUGUGAUAAUUAUCUGCGCCGUCGCCUUACGCCUCUUCGGAAGUGCUGCUUCUAAUCGUCCGCAUGGACAAUAUUUUAAA